UGGAAAUACAGCUGAGAGCCUCUGUUGACAGAUGGAUGCCUUCUUAAUCACAGCCUGUGUGGGUAAAGGGAAAGCCUUGCUUGGCCAACCCCUCCCACUCCCACCCCCACCCCCUGCAUUGAUUCACAAACCUGGACUGCUCCGGAGGAGGCUGGGAAAGUCCAUCCCCAGGGAAUACGACUUUUUUCCUCCUCCUGCCUCUCACAGGACACCCACACGACUAGGAGGAGGCAGAAAGUGAACAGGGAACUCUUAUUACUUUUUGAGAGUCAGCAAGUUAAGACAUCAUCUCCAGAAAACUGUGCUAGUUGGCAUCCAGCAGUGCCCAAGUAUUAUUUAACCCAUUAGAACCUGUGACAACAUCAGCUUUAUUUCCUUGACCUCAGCCUGGAACAAAGGAGAGCUACACUUGGAUAGUAAACACAAGUGAUCUGGAUAGAUUAUGCUGGGAAAAGAAGCCUGGAGUGGGCAGUACAGUGGGAGAACAAGAAAAUUAUGCGAGACAUCUCACAGAGCAGAAUCAGACUUGCAGCCCAUGAUAAAACAGAAGACCGUCUGCAACAUCAAAGAAAUACAGAAGAUUUUAUGGCUUGCUGUUUGUUUACCUACAAGGGAAAUGCCUGAAGGCCUGAAUGAAAUCACUCCUUAUCCUUGGGAGAAAAUGACAAGAAACGACAGCCACGGAAUCUUCCUCUGGAUAUGGGAACAAAAAUAGCUCUCAGAAUAAAUAGUGGCCACACCCAGGUAACUUCUUCAUGAGGUGGCUUGGUGACUUCACAAGAUAGGCCCCACCCGACCCAUAUGGGAUGAGCACCAUCUGGGCUGACCUCCUCUUUCGGGGUCUGUAAUUACUGCACAAAGAUGAAGGUGCAUCUAUGAAAGCAAACUUUGUCAAGAUCUCAGUGACACACUCUGCUUUUCCAAAUUACCUCAAUUGGCAGUGUAUAUUAGAGUCAUGGAAUGUCUCUGGAAAGAUACAUAGGAGACCUAGUGACAUUGGAUCCUUCAGAGAGGAUGACUUUUCACUGUGCACUGCUUCAGACCACCGGAAAUUCGGAAAUGUAUAUGGUUGGUGUGCAUGUAUUAUCUCCUUAAAACUAGCUAGCUACCUAUCUAUCUACCUACCUACCCACCUACCUUCCUACCCAGCUAAUUAAUUAGCUAACCAAAUUUAUAAGGUGUUAAAAAAAAAAAAAAAAGAAAAGCCAAAUAACUGGAAACACUUAGAUCUUCCUCUGUUGCUAUUUAGCUAACUGUUCAAUUUAACUCUUAAAUAAGUUAUUUCCUCUGAGUUUUGUUUUUUUUUUUUCUUCCACAGAAACUCUGCACCUAAGCAACACUGGUUUCCUUGUCCUUCCCCAAAGAUGCCAGGCACAUCCUAGCCUCAGCUCCUUUGCAAAAACAAUUUCCAAUGCCUGGAAAAAUCUUGUUUUUGUUAUCUCCAUGGCUCGCAUUUUGCUUAGUUUAAGUCUUGACUCAAAUAUCACUUUUUCAAUAAGGCCUACCUUGAUUAUCCUAUUUAAAAUUGCAAACUUAA